rnacentral:lncRNA from 1 species
UACCCUUGCCCUGGCACUCUGCAGGUUCUAAACAUAGAGCUCGACAAGGGGGAAGAUAUCCUGGCCCAGCCCAGCCUAGCCCAGCUCAGCGUGUCCUUUCAGUGUUUACAAGAAUUUUGUCUUUUUGUCACGAUGUCCCUUCACUGAGUUGAAGUAUUCCCAGCCCUUAAAUGUUUUCAGAGAUUGGCUAGGAACAGUCAGUGGAAUGCUAUCAAAACCACAUUGUUUCUCAUUUCUGGACUUGAAAUCACCAGCAUUCGGAAUGCAUUAUCCUACAAUAUGAACAGAUUCUCUGUAAUGUGGGGAGUCAUCUUUGUAACCUGGGAUCCACUGCCACGAGCUGAGUUUGGGGCCCUGUCCAGCAGGAGGAAUGUUUAGAAGCCGAGGGAGAUCUUGUUCCUGUCUCCAGAACCCAUGCAAGUGGACUGAAGAGAAACUGUAGAAAGUGGAGUGCGUGCGCAAGUGUUUGUUAUAUUAAUUAAACUUCCCUGAGCCUUGACUUGCCAAUUUGUGAAGUGAAAAGAAGUUUUCUCUCUGCACAUCUAUGUACUUCUAUGGAGUUAUUUACUAUAAAGUACUAGAGCUUCUGUGGAAAAAGGAGGGGCACAAAUUCCAGCCCUUGGUGUGAUCAGUG